rnacentral:tRNA from 1 species
GGGCGCUUAGCUCAGCGGGAGAGCACUACGUUGACAUCGUAGGGGUCGGUGGUUCGAUCCCACCAGCGCCCACCA